rnacentral:rRNA from 1 species
GUGCCAGCAGCCGCGGUAAUACGUAGGGUGCAAGCGUUAAUCGGAAUUACUGGGCGUAAAGCGUGCGCAGGCGGUUGUGCAAGACAGGUGUGAAAUCCCCGGGCUUAACCUGGGAACUGCACUUGUGACUGCACGGCUGGAGUACGGCAGAGGGGGAUGGAAUUCCGCGUGUAGCAGUGAAAUGCGUAGAUAUGCGGAGGAACACCGAUGGCGAAGGCAGUCCCCUGGGCCUGUACUGACGCUCAUGCACGAAAGCGUGGGGAGCAAACAGGAUUAGAAACCCCCGUAGUCC